ACCAGACUCCUACGGGAGGCAGCAGUGGGGAAUAUUGCACAAUGGGGGGAACCCUGAUGCAGCGACGCCGCGUGGGUGAAGGAGUGCUUCGGCAUGUAAAGCCCUAUCGGCAGGGAAGAAGCAAGACGGUACCUGACUAAGAAGCACCGGCUAAAUACGUGCCAGCAGCCGCGGUAAUACGUAUGGUGCAAGCGUUAUCCGGAUUUACUGGGUGUAAAGGGGGCGCAGACGGCAGCGCAAGCCAGGAGUGAAAGCCCGGGGCCCAACCCCGGGACUGCUCUUGGAACUGCGCGGCUGGAGUGCAGGAGGGGCAGGCGGAAUUCCUGGUGUAGCGGUGAAAUGCGUAGAUAUCAGGAGGAACACCGGUGGCGAAGGCGGCCUGCUGGACUGCGACUGACGUUGAGGCCCGAAAGCGUGGGGAGCAAACAGGAUUAGAUACCCCAGUAGG
rnacentral:rRNA from 1 species